UGCAGUCGAGCGAGAAAAGGGGGGCAACUCCCUGAGUACAGCGGCGCACGGGUGAGUAACACGUGGGUAAUCUGCCCUGAAGUGGGGAAUAACACCGGGAAACCGGUGCUAAUACCGCAUACGAUCGCAGAGUCUGCGGACUUUGUGAUGAAAGGAGCAAUUCGCUUUAGGAGGAGCCCGCGGCUGAUUAGCUUGUUGGUGAGGUAAUGGCUCACCAAGGCUACGAUCAGUAUCCGGUCUGAGAGGACGGCCGGACACACUGGAACUGAGACACGGUCCAGACUCCUACGGGAGGCAGCAGUGGGGAAUUUUUGGCAAUGGGGGCAACCCUGACCAAGCAACGCCGCGUGGGUGAUGAAGUCUCUUGGGACGUAAAACCCUUUCGACGGGGAAGAAACCGCAAGGUUGACGGUACCCGUAGAAGAAGCCCCGGCUAACUCCGUGCCAGCAGCCGCGGUAAUACGGGGGGGGCAAGCGUUGUUCGGAAUUACUGGGCGUAAGGGUGCGUAGGCGGUGCUCUAAGUCGGAUGUGAAAACUCUGGGCUCAACCCAGAGCCUGCAUCCGAAACUGGAGUGCUAGAGUUCUGGAGGGGGUAGCGGAAUUCCUGGUGUAGCGGUGAAAUGCGUAGA
rnacentral:rRNA from 1 species